AGGAUAAUAGUUAAAUAUAACAGUUAAUUUGCAUUUAAAAAGUAUUGGUCAAUUCAAUUUAUCUUA
rnacentral:tRNA from 1 species